UAUACACUUACACCCUGCAAUAAAAAGGAAUGAACACUGAUACACACAAAACACAGGGGUGAACCUCAAGUGCAUGAUGCUAAGUCAAAGAAGCUAGACUCAAAAGCUACCAGCUGUCUGAUUCCACUUACCUGACAUUCUGGAAAAGGUUGCCUGCUCUCCCUGUGACUCCGGCACCAACUGCUGAGUGCUUCAAGACACCCCCAGUCUCGUCUCUUACUGCGGUGCUCCCUCCACACACCCAACCAGACCAGACCGCCCCUCACCCGCCGCUGCCAAGCAGUAGGGGCCCAGCCUUCCUCACCCCAAGGCCUCCACUUCAAAUCCUUCCCCUCCACCCAGACCCACCGGAUGGAUCCCAAAUGAAUUCUGGAGGCCGAGAAGUCCAAGAUCAAGAUGCCAGCCAACUCAAUAUCUGGUGAGCGCUCUCUCCCUGGCUUGCAGAGAUGGUCACCUUCUGACCUGCUCCAAUCUGAACCCCCGUCUUCUGCAUCUGCGUAGAGCUGAUACCCUGGGAACUUUCUUCACCAUCAUCUAGGUCAGGUGUCAACAAAUUAUGGUCUGUGGGCCAAAUCCAGCCUGCCACUUGUUUUUAAGUAAAGUUUUAGUGGGACGCAGCAUUCUCAUUAUUUAUGUAUUGUCUUCUUUCGUGCUACAAUGGCGGAGUUGAGUAGCUGUAAUAGACCAAAUGGCGUAUAAAACCAAAAAUAUUUACUAACUGGUCCUUUACAGGAAAAGUUUGGUGACUUGCAAUCUAGGUGAUUCUUUCACUUCUUUACUGUACUAGUUGAUUUGUUUCCUGAAUCCCACGUCUUCCUCCUUCCUGAUUUACUCUUUUUGGUGAAGUACAUCUUCUGGUAGCUUCCUGAGAAAGGGUAUAUGAGAUGUACCUUUUUUUUGAGAACUUGCAUGUCUGAAAACGUCCUUUCCUGCUCUCACAUUUUAUUGAUGGCUUAGUUGGGUACAGCAUUUUAGCAUGGAAGUCACAGUCUUUCAGAAAUUAGAGAGCUUUGCUUCACUGUCAUCUAGUCUCUAGGGUUAUAACAGAAAACUCUUAAGUUAUUUUGAAUUUGGAUCUCCUGUAUGUGACUCUUUUUUUCCUUCUUAGAAGCCUAUAGGAUCUUUUCUUUGUCCUCGGUGUUCUGAAAUUUUAUGACAAUGUGGCUUGGAGAUGGUGCGUCUCCAUCACUGUGCUGGGCAGCGGGCUCUUUCUGUCUGGAAAGUCACAUCCUGCAGUAAUGGGGCAUUUCCCUGAAUGAUUCUGUUCAUCAUUUCUUCUCCCUCUUUUUCUCUGUUCCCUAUUUCUGGAAUGUUCAUUGAACAGAUGGAUGCCUUGGACUGGUCCUCUACUUUUCUUGUCUUUUCUAUCAUAUUCUGGGACAAUUCUUCAACUUUAUCUUCCAAUCUGAACCUUGAGUCUUCUUUAUUUCUUCUAUCAUGUUUUUAAUUUCAUGCUGUUAAUUUAAUUUAAUUAAAAAAGAGCUCCUUUUCCCCCCUUCCGAAUGUUUCUUUUUGAAAGUGCCUAGAUCUUGUAAUACACAUACUUUCUUUAAAAAAGAAAUUCUCUGAGGAUAUAAAAAAAGUUUCUUCUCCUUGUUUUGUUCUAGUUGCUUUCCUGUUUGGUUUUGCUAUUUCACGUUCGAGGCUUUCCUCUUGGUUGUCUCUUCAUAUAGGACAGUGAAAUGUUAAAAGACUGAUUUUUAGUGAAAUCCUAAAAAUCUCUGCUUGAGUGGGUGGAGCUCAUUGUCUGCAAGCUUUAUUGUAGGGAAAUACAGCUGAGCUGUUGGUUGGGAAAUCCUUGAGGUUAUUAGCUUUAAAUCUUCUUUACCACUCAGAUUCCUCAGAGAAAGAUUUUCCUAUCUUUGGACUCAAGGGUAUAGGCUUGGCUACUAGAAUUCUGAGGUUGGCUGGGAAAAGAAAGCUGGGACUCUUAAUGUUCGGCCAGUAUUCAACGUGCCAGCAGCAUUCACUCAACCUCCCCAAAGGGGCCACUACCACAACUGUGUUUGGCGUCCCCUAGUUCAGACAGCCUUUCCUUUAUCCUGUCCCAAGGAUAAAUUGCUGGUCUUCUACUAUGUUAUGGAAGGGGCAAUCUUUUUAAAUAAAUUUUCAACCAAUACAGUUAGUCUCUUCUUCCCCCACCUCUUCCCCCACUUUACAGAGUUACCUGCUGCUGUCCAUUUCUGAACUUCUUUAGGAUUCUGCUGUGUAAACUGGGUUGUUUCUUGGCUUUCUCGGGCGUUGGCUCAGGACUCAGCUUUCUCAGGACUGCUAAGUCAGUUACCACUCAUCCAUCUGCUUCUCAGCUUCCAAAUUUUUGUUGCUGUUGUCUCCUCUCCCAUUCUCUUUGUCCUUGUGGGUUUAUGUUUUUUUAAAAAAAAUCUCUUCACUGUUGUUUUAGUGAGGUUUUGGGAGGGAAUGAAAGUAAAUGUGGGUAUUUGAUCCUCCAUCUUUAUUUGGAACCUCUUUAUAAUUAAAUAUCUUUUUUUUAACUUCCAUUUAAUAUUACAGCAUAAACUUUUCCCAUGUUCUUACACAGCCUUUGUAACAACUUUAGUAAUUGUACAACAUUCCACUGAGUUGCUACCAUAGCUUACCCAAUCAUUACCCUAUUUUCAGAAGUACAGAGUUGUUCCUGUUUUGCAGGGGGGGACUAGUGUUUUCUGGAGUCACCUUUCAUUUAUCUGUCUCAUUUAUUCCCUGUAUUUAGGGAAUGGCCGCUGACAUUAUUCUCCUCUCUCUUACCAGCCCAUGGUUUCAUCACCUUGUGCCUUGAUUACAGCACUGCCUUGUGCAAAUUUCAUUCAUCUUCAACCAGCACAAUGACGCAGCACUAAUCUUUCUAAAAUGUCACCUUUCUCAUGACACUUCAGAGGAAACCUAACACCUACAAUUCAUUUGCAACUGGCAUUUGUGGGUCCCAUGGUUUGAGUCCACCUCACCUAUUCAAACUCACCACCCUUUCCCCAAACGUCCUCCUUCACACAAUGGCCUGCUCUCCUAACCACAGCCCAGGCCCAUCCACAUGGCCAAUGCCAGCCACACGCACCUUCAUGUACACCCUCUCCUGCAAGAGGCCUCCCCCACGUGACUCUGCGUACACUCUUUCUUCCUUCACAUGAUACACUGAAAACUGCUGAGGCUCAGCCUUCUACAUGGACUGAGAGCUCUUCCCCUAUGUUCUCCUCUCUGGCACUGCCCCUACACUGCCCUCAUCCUACCACCAUGGGGCUCCAGCCCAGCACCAGCAGCACGGUGUUGCUGAACAGGGACUCACUGAAUGGAAUGGACACGCAUGAGCUAACCACAGGCUCAGAAGCAGCCCGGGGGGCAGAGUUUUGGUGAACAGCUGGAGCUUCCAGAGUGAGCUGAACAUGGAGGAAACUCUUUUCCCUGAAGAUACAGCAGAAAGACCACACCAUCUGAUAACCUUCCAUAAGCCUUUAGGGUCAAAUGGGAUGUGAAUGUGAAAGGUGAGAAGAACUGGUAAUGGAGGGAAAAAUACAUGGGAGCAAAUGAAAAAUAACUAAACACUAGAACAAAAAAAAAUAUUAUAAAAACAACUAUGCACUAAAACUAAAGCUCUAGACUCAAGAAUGACUUGUGCUUGUGGAUAUAACUAUCCCAGACAACUGUGCACUUAAGAACCCAAUGUCUUACAUUUAAGUCUUUAACUCAUUUUGAGUUAAUUUCUGUGCAUGUUGUAAGUAAGGGGUCCAGUUUCAUCCUUUUGCACGUGGCUAUGCAGUUUUCUCAACACCAUUUAUUUAUUUAUUUAUUUUGUGGUACAUGGGCCUCUCACUGCUGUGGCCUCUGCCGUUGCGGAGCACAGGCUCCGGACAUGCAGGCUCAGUGGCCAUGGCUGACGGGCCCAGCUGCUCCGCGGCAUGUGGGAUCUUCCCGGACCGGGGAACGAACCCGUGUCCCCUGCAUUGGCAGGCAGACGGACUCUCAACCACUGCGCCACCAGGGAAGCCCCAACACCAUUUAUUGAAGAGACAAUUCUUUCCCCAUCUUGGCACCUUGUCAAAGAUUAGUUGGCCAUACAUACAUGGGUUUACUUCUGGGCUGUCUAUUCUGUUCCAUUAGUCUAUGUGUCUGUUUUCAUACUAAUGUGUUGAUUAUUACAGCUUUGUAAUCGAGUUUGAAAUCAGAAGUGCUGAUGCCUCCAGUUUUGUUCUUCUUUCUCAAGAUUGCUUUGGCUAUUGAGGGUCUUUUGUGAAUUCCAUGUGAAUUUUAGGAGAGUUUUUUCUAUUUUUGUGAAAAAUGCUAUUGGAAUUUUUAUAGGGAUUACACUGAAUCUAUAGAUCACUUUGGGUAGUAUGGGCAAUUAAAUGAUAUUAAUUCUUCCAAUCCAAUAACACAGGGUAUCUUCCUACUUAUUUGUGUCCUCAUCAAUUUUCUCAUCAAUGUCUUAAAGUUUUCAAUGUAUAGGUAUUUUACCUCCUUGGUUAAAUUCCCAAGUAUUUUAUUGUUUUUGAUGCUUUUGUGAGUGUGACUGCUUUCUUAAUUUCUAUAUCACCUCUCAUCUGUUAGGAUGGCUAUUAUCAAAAAGAUAAGAGCUAAACGUUAGUGAGGACGUGCAGAAAAGGGAACCCUUGUACAUUAUUGGGGGGAAUGUAAAUUGGUACAGCCAUUAUGGAAAACAGUACUGGUGUAUAUCCAAAAGAAAUGGAAUUGGUACUUUGAGGAGAUAUCUGCACUCCCAUGUUCACUGCAGCAUUAUUCGCAAGAGCCAAGACAUGGAAACAGCCUAAGUGUCUGUUGACAGUUGAAUGGAUAAAGAAAAUGUGAUACACACACACACACACACACAGAGAAAUAUUAUUCAGCCAUAAAAAGAAGGAAAUCCUGCCAUUUGUGACAACAUGGAUGAACCUGGAGGGCAUUAUGCUAAGUGACACAAGCCUGACAGAGAAACACAAAUGCUGUAUGUAUCACUUAUGUGUGCAAUCUUUUAUUAAAAAAAAAGCUGAUUUCAUAGAAACAGAGAGUAGAACGGUAGUUGCCAGGGGCUGGGGAGAGGGAAAAAUGGGAAGGCAGAGGUCAAAUACUUUUACAUAC